rnacentral:rRNA from 1 species
CAACAGGGAUUGCCUUAGUAACGGCGAGUGAAGCGGCAAUAGCUCAAAUUUGAAAGCUGGCCCCUUCGGGGUCCGCGUUGUAAUUUGUAGAGGAUGAUUCGGCGAGGGCUCCCGUCUAAGUCCCUUGGAACAGGGCGUCAUAGAGGGUGAGAAUCCCGUAUGUGAUGGGCUGCCUUAGCCAUGUGAAUCUCCUUCGACGAGUCGAGUUGUUUGGGAAUGCAGCUCUAAAUGGGAGGUAAAUUUCUUCUAAAGCUAAAUACCGGCCAGAGACCGAUAGCGCACAAGUAGAGUGAUCGAAAGAUGAAAAGCACUUUGGAAAGAGAGUUAAAAAGUACGUGAAAUUGUUGAAAGGGAAGCGCUUGCAGCCAGACUUGUCCGCAGUUGCUCAGCUUGUCUCCUGACAGGCGUACUCUUCUGCGGCCAGGCCAGCAUCAGUUCGGGCGGUCGGAUAAAGGCCCGGGGAAUGUAGCUCCUCUCGGGGAGUGUUAUAGCCCCGGGUGCAAUGCGGCCAGCCUGGACUGAGGAUCUCGCUUCGGCUAGGAUGCUGGCGUAAUGGCUGUAAGCGGCCCGUCUUGAAACACGGACCAAGGAGUCUAACAUCUAUGCGAGUGUGGGGGGUGGGAAAA